AGUAACGGCGAGUGAACAGGGAAAAGCUCAAGCUGAAAAUUGGCAGUUUACUGUCGAAUUGUAGUCUCACGAAGUGCAGCCUGUGUUUAUUCUAAGCUAAGUCUCUUGGAAAAGAGUACCAAAGAGGGUGAAAGUCCCGUCUUUACUUAGAAGUAUUCACGUUCGGUGCAUUCUCUUCGAGUCGCGUUCCUUGAGAUUGGAGCGCUAAUUAGGUGAUAAAUUUCAUCUAAAGCUAAAUAUUAACGAGAUUCCGAUAGCAUACAAGUACCGUGAGGGAAAGAUGAAAAGGACUUUGAAAAGAGAGUUAAAAGGAACUGAAAUUGCCAAGAGGAAAGUGGAGUGAUGAGGCAAUAUGUUGUGAAAUUGCUAUUUGAGUAUCAAAUCUCGGUGGCCGUUUCUGACUUACCUUUGGAAACAAUGUGUAAAAGGCGCCGCUUGCUAGUGCAACUGGAUCUUUUAGGUUCACUGCUUAGUAAGUGAGUCUUUAUCAUAUUGUAAACCUCGCUUAGU
rnacentral:rRNA from 1 species